CUCGGCCCCCUUCCGCGCCGUGAGGCCUAGUCCUGGCGCGCCCCGCAGCAUGGCCUUCCCGGGCACUCGCCCUCUGCCCCAGCCCCGGCCCUCUGCCCUCUGCCCUCUGCCCACUGCCUUGGCCCGGCUCGCGACGCGGACGGUCCCCGGCUCCUGGGGCUGGACACUCCCGAGACAGGCCCCUUCCAGCUGGGCUUUAUGGCACCACGCGGCGCCCCGCCCUCCCGUCCAUCCAUCUCCCUCCUCCUGCUUUAUUAUCGGCCUCCAGGUGGCUUCCCUCAUAGUGGCAAAAGGGCUGCAGGAGCUCUGGGACUCACGUGCAUCCUCCAUCAUGAACAAGAGGAGAAGGGAACCACCCAGGAAGGUCGCUCCUAAAACCCUGACUCACAGACACUGAACUAACACAUGUUUAUGGUUGUCUUAAAGCAGUCGGUUUUGAGGUCACCUGUUCUUCACAAGACGUAAUGAAUGCAGCAGUUCAGGCUUUCCUGCAGUCGACUGAGUUCUCUGGUAACUGUGAGCAGGACUGAUGCGUGCCACCUGCAGGCCCACCCAUACGAACUUCCCACCCGAACCUCUGCAGCCUCCAUGCCCGGUCCUCUUGGCCUCAGGUCCCCUAGGCCAGCCAUGGGGGCCACAAGCUGAAGACGGCAGAGGUACAAGAGGAAGAAGUCUGGGGCCCUCAAUCAUGGCUGGGGGAUUGCUGCCCAGGAAUACCACCUGACCAGAGACACCACAUGAAUGAUUCCAUGAGCAGGAAAUAAAUCUUCAUGUUUAAGCCACUGAGAUUUGGGGAUUUAUCCAUUACAGUACCUAAAGUCACCUUAAACUAAUACUCUUUCUUUUUUUUUUUUUUUUUUUUUUGAGUCGGCGUCUUGCUCUGUGGCCCAGGCUGGAGUGCAGUGUCGAGAUCCCGGUUCACUGCAACCUCCGCCUCCCGGGUUCAAGUGAUUCUCCUGCCUCAGCUUCCUGAGUAACUGGGAUUACAGUCAUACGCUACCACACCUGGCUCAUUUUUGUAUUUUUAGGAGGGACAGGGUUUCACCAUGUUGGUCAAGCUGGUCUCGAACUCCUGACCUCGUGAUCCUCCCACCUCGGCCUCCCAAAGUGCUGGGAUUAUAGGCAUGAGCCACUGCGCCCGGCCUAAUACUCUUUCAUACAGAAUUUUUUUUCCCCCAGGCUGGAUUGUAAUGGCGUGAUCUCGGUCACUGCAACCUCCACCUCCCCGGUUCAAGCGAU
rnacentral:lncRNA from 10 species